rnacentral:rRNA from 1 species
GAUGAACGCUGGCGGCGUGCUUAACACAUGCAAGUCGAACGGGAUCCAAGGGGUGCUUGCACUUUUUGGUGAGAGUGGCGAACGGGUGAGUAACACGUGAGUAACCUGUCCUUUUCUUUGGGAUAAGCAUUCGAAAGGGUGUUUAAUACCUUAUGUUCUGUCUGCCUCGCAUGGGGUGGGUGGGAAAGGCUUUGGCCGGAUUUGGGUGGGCUCGCGGUCUAUCAGCUUGUUGGUGGGGUGAUGGCUUACCAAGGCUUUGACGGGUAGCCGGCCUGAGAGGGUGGUCGUUCACAUGGGGACGGAGAUACGGCCCAGACUCCUGCGGGGGGAAGCGGUGGGGGAUAUGGAACAUGGGGCGAAGCCUGAUGCAGCGACGCCGCGUGGGGGAUGAAGGCCUUCGGGUUGUAAACUUCUUUUGCUCUGAACAAGGCAUGCCAGUGGGUGUGUUGAGUGUAGGGGUUGAUUAGCGCCGGCUAACUACGUG